CAUCGAUGAAGAACGCAGCGAAAUGUGAUAAGUAAUGUGAAUUACAGAAUUCAAGUGAAUCAUCGAAUCUUUGAACGCACCUUGCGCUCCAUGGUAUUCCGAGGAGCAUGCCUGUUUGAGUGUCAUGAAAUUCUCAACCUUUUCAGCAUUUUGUUGAAUAGGCUUGGAUUUUGGGAGUUGUUGCAGGCUGCUCAGAAGUCUGCUCUCCUUAAAUGUAUUAGCGGGGCCCUUGUUGUCUAGCA
rnacentral:rRNA from 1 species